UGGUAUGCUUCCACCAAUGUUGUAGAGACAGAUAAUAAAAUCAACUAGACCAGUGUUUUCAAACUUUAAAAUAUGUGAUCUCUCAGAUUUCCCCAGGUGGCAUGGUGAACCAGACUAUAAUUUCAUUAUUGUAUUAACAGCCCACCCCAAUUCAGAAAAUAGCCCUCUCAAAUAGUCCUCAACUUAUACCUUUCACUUAGUGAUCAUUCAAAGUUACAGCGGCACUGAAAAAAGUGACUUAUUGUCAUUUUUCAUACAUUGCAGACCCCCGUGGUCAUGUGAUUAAAAUUCAGAUGCUUGGCAACUGGCAUGUAUUUAUGAUAGUUGCAAUGUCCCAGGGUCAUGUGAUCACCUUUUGAGACUUCUGACAAGCAAAAUCAAUAGAAAAGCCAAAUUAAUUUAACAACUGUAUUACUAACUUAACAACUGCAGUUGAUCCACUUCAUAACUGUGGCAAGGAAUAUUGUAAAAAAGGGGCAAAACUGACUUAACAAUUGUUUUGCUUAGCAAUGGAAAUUUUGCAUUUCAUUUCAUCGUAUUGGAUUUCAGGCUUCUAGUAUGGAGGCUGAUUAUAGAUAUAAAUUUGAAGGAAGAGAAAACAAAGAACAAUUCUGGUCGCAGUUUCAAGAGGAUGUGGUCUUAGCAACUAUGGUCACAGUUGCAAGAAGAUGUGGUCUCAGAACAAAGGAACAACAAGAAGUAUUAAAGCUCAAAAUAUCCAAAACAUCAGCAGAGACGCUCUGAAAUUGGAAUUUUGAGUCAUGGAUUAAAAGGACCCGUCUUUCAUAGUUGGAAGAGCUUAAAUAAAUGAUUUAUAAUUAUAUAAUGAUGCAUACCAAAAGAAGAAACAACAGCUAAGAUGAAUAUUAUGAGUGGAAGUCAAAAUGCUCAGAGGAGAGUAAAUUAUCUAGCCUGAAUUUAUUUACUGAUUUGUAUUAAAAAAAAUAUUGCCAUAUUAAAGGUUUAGUUACAAAAAUA